rnacentral:lncRNA from 1 species
AACAAGGGGAAAUAGUACAAAAUCUAUUACAAGACAUAUUACAAAAAUUACAAGGAAUGGAGAAAAAUAUUGAAAAGCUGGAAAGCAGAAUUAGCCAUACGGAAGAUGGCAAAAAGAGCAAGAAAUAGACCUGCAAGAAUUUAAAGAGAUACCAAUUAGCCAAAAAAAAUAUGACAAAAAAGAUAAAGGAAAAGGGAUAGAAGUAACUACACACCA